rnacentral:rRNA from 1 species
AACCAGACUCCUACGGGAGGCAGCAGUGGGGAAUAUUGGGCAAUGGGCGCAAGCCUGACCCAGCAACGCCGCGUGAAGGAAGAAGGCUUUCGGGUUGUAAACUUCUUUUAGGAGGGAAGAGCAGAAGACGGUACCUCUUGAAUAAGCCACGGCUAACUACGUGCCAGCAGCCGCGGUAAUACGUAGGUGGCAAGCGCUAUCCGGAUUUACUGGGUGUAAAGGGGGCGCAGACGGCGAUGCAAGCCAGGAGUGAAAGCCCGGGGCCCAACCCCGGGACUGCUCUUGGAACUGCGUGGCUGGAGUGCAGGAGGGGCAGGCGGAAUUCCUGGUGUAGCGGUGAAAUGCGUAGAUAUCAGGAGGAACACCGGUGGCGAAGGCGGCCUGCUGGACUGCAACUGACGUUGAGGCCCGAAAGCGUGGGGAGCAAACAGGAUUAGAUACCCCAGUA